AUUGAACGCUGGCGGCAUGCCUUACACAUGCAAGUCGAACGGCAGCACGGGAGCAAUCCUGGUGGCGAGUGGCGAACGGGUGAGUAAUGUAUCGGAACGUGCCCAGUCGUGGGGGAUAACGUAGCGAAAGCUACGCUAAUACCGCAUACGAUCUGUGGAUGAAAGCGGGGGACCGUAAGGCCUCGCGCGAUUGGAGCGGCCGAUAUCAGAGUAGGUAGUUGGUGGGGUAAAGGCGUACCAAGCCGACGAUCUGUAGCUGGUCUGAGAGGACGACCAGCCACCCUGGGACUGAGACACGGCCCAGACUCCUACGGGAGGCAGCAGUGGGGAAUGUUGGACAAUGGGCGCAAGCCUGAUCCAGCAAUGCCGCGUGCAGGAUGAAGGCCUUCGGGUUGUAAACUGCUUUUGUACGGAGCGAAAAGGCUCUCUCUAAUACAGGGGGCUCAUGACGGUACCGUAAGAAUAAGCACCGGCUAACUACGUGCCAGCCGCCGCGGUAAGAC
rnacentral:rRNA from 1 species